CCUACGGGAGGCAGCAGUGGGGAAUCUUGCACAAUGGGGGAAACCCUGAUGCAGCGAUGCCGCGUGAGUGAAGAAGGCCUUUGGGUUGUAAAACUCUUUCGUCGGGGAAGAAAAUGACUGUACCCGAAUAAGAAGGUCCGGCUAACUUCGUGCCAGCAGCCGCGGUAAUA
rnacentral:rRNA from 1 species